UGGGUUUUCGUUUACAUGGUAAGACCGGAGACUCUGACUCUCCUGAAAACGGUUCGAUUCCGUUAAACCCUGCCA
rnacentral:tRNA from 4 species